rnacentral:rRNA from 1 species
GAAUAUUGGACAAUGGGCGCAAGCCUGAUCCAGCCAUGCCGCGUGUGUGAUGAAGGUUUUCGGAUCGUAAAGCUCCGUUGCCAGGGAAGAACGGGUGGGGGAGUAACUGCCCUUGCCAUGACGGUACCUGAGAAGAAAGCCCCGGCUAACUACGUGCCAGCAGCCGCGGUAAUACGUAGGGGGCAAGCGUUGUCCGGAAUUAUUGGGCGUAAAGCGCGCGCAGGCGGACUUGUAAGUCUGGUGUCUAAGACUGGGGCUCAACCCUGGAACGCACCGGAAACUGCAAGACUGGAGUGCAGGAGAGGAAAGUGGAAUUCCACGUGUAGCGGUGAAAUGCGUAGAGAUGUGGAGGAACACCAGUGGCGAAGGCGACUUUCUGGCCUGUAACUGACGCUGAGGCGCGAAAGCGUGGGGAGCAAA